rnacentral:rRNA from 1 species
AUGGAUCUGGACUGGGCGACUCACAACGGCUGGCUGCGUGAUCAACUGGCGCGCGCGCAGAACAAGUACAAGCAAAAGGCCGACAGAAACCGCACCGAGCGCUCGUUCGAAGAGGGCGACUCUGUUCUGCUCAAGCUACAACCUUACACCCAGUCGUCAGUGGCGAAUCAUCCCUGCCCCAAGUUAGCCUACAAGUUUUUCGGUCCAUUCCAGAUUCUGUAGCGCAUUGGGGCACUGGCGUACAAGCUGCGACUACCUGACGACAGUCUCAUUCAUCCAGUCUUCCACGUCUCCCAAUUGAAGCCCUAUACACCUGAUUAUACAUCAGUGUUCUCUGAGUUGCCCCGUGUACCAGACCUCAUGGUUGUUUCGUUGCAACCCAUUGCCAUCCUCGAUCGGCGCGUGGUGAAGAAAGGCAAUAGCUCUAUCGUGCAAGUGAAGGUACAAUGGUCCUCGCUCUCUCUGGACAUGGCCACUUGGGAAGAUUACUCGGUGCUUCGCCAUCGCUAUCCGGAAGCUCUCUGCUAG